rnacentral:rRNA from 1 species
UAGUCCACGCAGUAAACGAUGAGUGCUAGUUAUCGGGUCUUUGGGUCUCGGUGGCGAAGCUAACGCGUUAAGCACUCCGCCUGGGGAGUACGGCCGCAAGGCUAAAACUCAAAGGAAUUGACGGGGACCCGCACAAGCAGUGGAGCAUGUGGUUUAAUUCGAUGCUACGCGAAAAACCUUACCAGCUCUUGUAUCCUGGUCGCGAUUUUCAGAGAUGAAUUUCUUCAGUUCGGCUGGACCAGUGACAGGUGUUGCAUGGCUGUCGUCAGCUCGUGUCGUGAGAUGUUAGGUUAAGUCCUUCAACGAGCGCAACCCUCAUCCUUAUUUGCCAUCGAGUAAUGUCGGGAACUAUAAGGAAACUGCCAACGACAAGUUGGAGGAAGGUGAGGAUGAUGUCAAGUCAUCAUGGCCCUUAUGGGCUGGGCUACACACAUGCUACAAUGGUGGUUACAACGGGACGCGAAGGAGCAAUCCGGAGCCAAUCCAAUCAAAAGCC